CUCCUACGGGAGGCAGCAGUGGGGAAUAUUGCACAAUGGGGGAAACCCUGAUGCAGCCAUGCCGCGUGUGUGAAGAAGGCCUUUUGGUUGUAAAGCACUUUAAGCGAGGAGGAGGCUACCGAGAUUAAUACUCUUGGAUAGUGGACGUUACUCGCAGAAUAAGCACCGGCUAACUCUGUGCCAGCAGCCGCGGUAAUACAGAGGGUGCAAGCGUUAAUCGGAUUUACUGGGCGUAAAGCGUGCGUAGGCGGUUUGAUAAGUCGGUUGUGAAAGCCCCGGGCUCAACCUGGGAAUUGCGGCCGAUACUGUCAGACUAGAAAACGGUAGAGGGAGGCGGAACUCCAGGUGUAGCGGUGAAAUGCGUAGAUAUCUGGAGGAACAUCAGUGGCGAAGGCGACUCCCUGGCCAAAGACUGACGCUCAUGUGCGAAAGUGUGGGUAGCGAACAGGAUUAGAUACCCUGGUAGUCCACACCGUAAACGCUGUCUACUAGCUGUGUGUGCCUUUAAGGCGUGCGUAGCGAAGCUAACGCGCUAAGUAGACCGCCUGGGGAGUACGGCCGCAAGGUUAAAACUCAAAGAAAUUGACGGGGGCCCGCACAAGCGGCGGAGCAUGUGGAUUAAUUCGAUGCAACGCGAAGAACCUUACCUGGGCUU
rnacentral:rRNA from 11 species